GACGAACGCUGGCGGCGUGCUUAAUACAUGCAAGUCAACUGAACUUUAGGUAGCAAUAUUUAAAGGGAGGUGGCGCACGGGUGAGUAACACGUAGGUAAUCUGCCUUCAGGACUGACAUAACUCCGCGAAAGCGGGACUAAAAUCAGAUGAUGCAGCGGCUCGACAUCGAGACAGUUGUUAAACCUUCGGGGCCUGAAGAUGAGCCUGCGUCUGAUUAGGUAGUUGGAGGGGUAAUGGCCCACCAAGCCUGCGAUCAGUAGCUGGUCUGAGAGGAUGAUCAGCCACACUGGAACUGAGACACGGUCCAGACUCCUACGGGAGGCAGCAGUAAGGAAUAUUGCUCAAUGGCCGAAAGGCUGAAGCAGCAACGCCGCGUGGAGGAUGAAAUACUUUAGUAUGUAAACUCCUGUAAGAGGGGAAAAUAUACAGUUCUGCUGUAUUGAUUGUACCUCAGAGUAAGCACCGGCUAACU
rnacentral:rRNA from 1 species